rnacentral:pre_miRNA from 1 species
CUGUCCCCUUGAGUUCCCUUAAACGCUUCAUUGUUCAUACUUUGUGAGUUUGUGUUCUAAGAUCUAUCGACCGAUAAAUCAAUCUGAUGAACACUGAAGUGUUUGGGGGGACUCUAGGUGACAU